rfam:Parcubacteria (Adlerbacteria) bacterium GW2011_GWA1_54_10 TY83_C0005, whole genome shotgun sequence.
GGAGGAGUGCGGCGAAUGGUAAGCCAGCGGAUUGCUAAUCCGUAGGGGGCCAAAAACUCCCUUGUGGGUUCAAGUCCCACCUCCUCCG